rnacentral:rRNA from 1 species
CUCCUACGGGAGGCAGCAGUGGGGAAUCUUGCGCAAUGGGCGAAAGCCUGACGCAGCGACGCCGCGUGAGCGAUGAAGCCCCUCGGGGUGUAAAGCUCUUUCGGCAGGGAAGAUUAUGACGGUACCUGCAAAAGCAAACUGCGGCUAACUACGUGCCAGCAGCCGCGGUAAUUC